rnacentral:rRNA from 1 species
UACGUAGGGUGCGAGCGUUGUCCGGAAUUAUUGGGCGUAAAGGCUCGUAGCGGUUUGUCGCGUCGGGAGUGAAAACACCGGGCUUAACUCGGUGCUUGCUUUCGAUACGGGCAGACUAGAGGCAUGCAGGGGAGAACGGAAUUCCUGGUGUAGCGGUGGAAAUGCGCAGAUAUCAGGAGGAACACCGGUGGCGAAGGCGGGUCUCUGGGCCGAUACUGACGCUGAGGAGCGAAAGCGUGGGGAGCGAACAGG